UACAGAGGUCUCGAGCGUUAGGCGGGAUCAUUGGGCGUAAAGCGCGCGUAGGCGGCCCUGUAAGUCCGUUGUGAAAGUCAAAGGCUCAACCUUUGAAAGCCGAUGGAUACUGCAGGGCUAGAGUCCGGAAGAGGCGAGUGGAAUUCCUGGUGUAGCGGUGGAAUGCGCAGAUAUCAGGAGGAACACCAAUAGCGAAGGCAGCUCGCUGGGACGGUACUGACGCUGAGGAGCGAAAGCGUGGGUAGCAAACAGG
rnacentral:rRNA from 1 species